CCUACGGGAGGCAGCAGUAAGGAAUAUUGGUCAAUGGAGGCAACUCUGAACCAGCCAUGCCGCGUGCAGGAUGACGGCCCUAUGGGUUGUAAACUGCUUUUAUACAAGAGAAAACCCUGGUACGUGUACCAGGUUGAUAGUAUUGUAAGAAUAAGCAUCGGCUAACUUCGUGCCAGCAGCCGCGGUAAGACGAAGGAUGCAAGCGUUAUCCGGAUUCAUUGGGUUUAAAGGGUGCGUAGGCGGACUGAUAAGUCAGUGGUGAAAUCUCUUUGCUUAACAAGAAACUGCCAUUGAUACUGUCGGUCUAGAGUAUAGAUGACGUUGGCGGAAUAUGACAUGUAGUGGUGAAAUACUUAGAUAUGUCAUAGAACACCGAUUGCGAAGGCAGCUAACGAAACUAUAACUGACGCUGAGGCACGAAAGUGCGGGGAUCAAACAGGAUUAGAUACCCUGGUAGUCCGCACCGUAAACGAUGAUUACUCGUUGUUGGCGAUAUGACAGUCAGCGACCAAGCGAAAGCGANAGUAAUCCACGUUGGAGUACGCGCGACGAGACGACGAGAGAGUUAGAGGCGNGAGACGNGCGACGGACGACGACGAGGAGGUAGG
rnacentral:rRNA from 1 species